GAAGACAUCUGGUGACUGUGAGACAUCAAGGAGCCGUCCCUGUGUGUCAGGGGGACUAAGAACGACCCAGAGCCCCAUCUUGUUGCUUCCACCUCACUCACUGAUACAUGAGAGAGACAAUGACCAGAAGAUUCUGGAACUCACCAACAAGAUCAUUCAGCUGUUGACUGGAGAGGUUCCUAUAAGGUGUGAGGAUGUCACUGUCUAUUUCUCCAUGGAGGAGUGGGAGUAUAUAGAGGAACACAGGUGUCUAUACAAGGACGUGAUGAUGGAGAAUCACCUGCCCCUCACAUCACUAGAUGGAUCCAGUAACAGGAAUACCCCAAAGAGAAGUCCCCGUCCUCUUUAUUCCCAGGAUCAUACAGAGGAGAAUCACAG